CUUGAUAUCUUCAGAUUUUUCAACUGUAGCCAUUUGAAUCUACUUAAAAUUAUUGGAGAAAAUACAACUACAAUUAAAAAUAAAAUAAAAUGAAUAAAAUAUCUUCAGGCUAAGGCGCGGAUAUCUCGCUCUCUUUAAGGAGAUUCAAGCCCACUGCAGCAAAGUUUUUCACUGGUCCAGGAGUAUUCCUCUUGACCUGUCUUCCCCAGGAUACAACAGCCUGAUCACGUCGUAUGGCUCGAACAAACUCUGGACUAGUUGUUGAGUCCAAAGCUCCACCAAGAUGAACACAUUCCUUCAACAAAAGUAUUAAAAAAAAAUCUCUUCUUCUUUUUUUCAUAACUUUAACCUCACUUUAUAGAAACAACUCU
rnacentral:lncRNA from 1 species